AUAGCAGCUAUCUGACUCUUCACAGAGAGGAACAGUCUUAGUUUACUGAUUUACUAGAGUCCUGGAGCCACUCUGUCUGCCUUAGCUUUAUAUAGCAACAACAACAGCACUAUUCCACAGACUACUCCAUUCACAAUCCAUACAGCUCUCUGACUUGAGGCCCGGAGAGGCUGGCUACUUUUAUAGGGAGAACGAGUCAUCACCCAAGAUGAGUCACGAGUCACAGUGACUUAGCAGUUUGCUGUUAACAGUUAGCAGGCUUAGGCUUGAAUGACUGUGUAGGCCUUGUAGGCCUUACAGCUUCUUCUGCUCUCAAGAACCUUUGUCUCAUGACAAAUUACGCCAGGAGGGCGUCAUGGAUUCUCUUAAAUAGAAUGUGCAUCCCCUUUGUAUAGGCAAAUAUACAAGCAGCCCUGCUUGCAUGAAGCUCAGUUUGUGAUACAGAGCACCCUUUUACUGUUUCCUGACCAAUGUGUUAGUGUGGUACAUAAAAGUUGCAAGUGGGAGACUGAGAGGAGCAGUGCUCUGGCUAACUGGGAACACACCCCAAAAUCUGGAUGACAAGUUUGACUUAAACCAAAGGAAACAGAGUCCUGCGCAGCCUGGUGUUAUGUCCCCAAACUGUAGGCAGCAAGAUUUCUCUGAGGGUGCAUUCAGAUGUGAGGAAUAUUGCAUUACUUUUCAUGAUUAUAAUGCUGGUGCUUCUUUCCUGUUUUCUAAUUUUCCUUUCAAACCUGUUGCUGUGUUAUGGAACUGUGGCUUUUUGACCAAUAUACUGACAGGUCAUGAUUACUUUCAUUCACACCACAUUCGCCACCCCCAUGACUCCCCCAUGAAAAGAGCAGGAAAGAACUGAAUGCUGAUAUACUGCCCCAUAUAUAUUUUUUCACGUUACUCUCACAAUUUUCCAGAUUAAAGGGGCUGCAAAUGGAUUUCUUCUGGAAUCAAAUCACAUGGAAAUGAGCACUAAGCUUGUGCUAUAUUCCCAUUAGUUUUCCAGAAGUGGCUUUUAAAUCAUGUGAAAGCUCAAAUAUAAUGUGGAAGUUAGGGAAAUGUCAGGUUAAUGGAAUAAACUACCAUGUAAAUGUAGCCUGGGUGUUUUUACAUGUUAAGGAGAUGAGAACAUAAAACGAAUUCAGUGCUGCUAUUAUAAAAGUGGGAGAAAAAUGUCUCCCUAUCCAUUUUUUCCAUGUUCUAAGCAGUUCUGAAAGAGGCUGUUCAGGUGAUUUGGACAUCAUAUUCUCAUGCUUCCAGUGAUAACAACAAACUAUAAGAUUGGUUAGUUCUGAAUGCAUUUGGAUCAGAACUAAAAUCUUGAAGUUAUCAGUGUUGUAGACAAACUACUGUGGUUUAGAGACACCUGGCACUGUCAUAGCUAACAAAGCUGGUAAAAGGUGUUUUUCACGACCUCAGCCAACUUUUUUGCUAUUGUUUUAGAUGGCAGUGGGGAGACACCACUUGACUAAAAGUUGAGGGAGUCAUAACAAUGCUGACUCCAGUUCUUAGGAUUCCCUCGGGCAAGAUGCCUCCAUCAGGUCUUUGUUCUCCUCCCUGCCAUAAUCCUCUGUCCCUGGUCUAAUUCAUGGAGAGGAAGGCAGGUGAGCAAGAAGGUGAUGGCAGCUGUUGUUAACUUUCUGCUCACUGCCAUUGCUUUUGAACUGUCUGCCUCUAGACCAGAGAGAUGGAGAAAGCAGGCAAGUGGCAAUGGCAAAGGGAGCAGCAUGAAGGCAAGGAGGCUAAUGUGAUCAGCAGUGGGACCUGCAUGAGAUGUGGGCUUCAACAAAUGUUCUUCCUUGCCAAGCCCUAAUGUCAGCCCUGAGUCAGAAGAUGGAGAUGCUGGAUUUAAUUUAAGGGGCCCCCUGCCCUUUCUUCCAUGAUUUGGCCACUACUGCUCUUCAUGUAAUAUUUAAAGCUACCUUCUUAGAACUGCGUUUAGGUACAUGAGAAACACAAGAAGCUGUCCGUUCAUUUAGCUCAGUACUAUCCACACUGACUCGCAACAGCUGUCCACAAUUUCAGACACCCCUACCUGGAGAUGUCAGGGAUUGAACCUGGGGCCUUUUGCAUGCACAGCCGAUGCUUUUCUGCUAAGCUAUGGCCUCUUCGUAUGGCCUUGAGUCUGAUGUUCUGGCUCCUUCUUAAGCAGUGGUGGGUACCAGUGUUUGCACCAGGGAACAAGUUCAGAGUUUCUUCACUCUCCCCCGCCUCCCUUUCCAGGGGUAGCAAUAAACUAUCCAGUCAUAAAUGAUUUAAUGGAGCAUGAAAUAACACACAGUGGCUUCGAGCCAGAAGACAGGAUAUUUUACCGAAGAGAAGUGGUUAUUAGGAAGGUCAUUUUGGUUAUUGUUGUAAUCGAAAGCUAUCACACCUCUGGUGUUUAACACGAUGGGGCGAUCACUGUUACAGUCUGAUGGCAGUAAAAAAAAAUGAUAAAAAAUAAAGAACGGGAAGCAUUACAUUCCUUCUCUCUUUUUUCUCUCAACAGCAGGAAGCAAUGGUGUUUCGAUACCUUUCAUUAUAGCUCAUUUUACACCCCAAAAGAUAGCAGAGUCCUAGUAGGGCUCCGAUGUACCUUUCCAAAACAUUGACAUUUGAUGGUGAGAUUGGAGCUCCCGAGAAAGGGGCAUUAUGCUAUUCUGUUUGACGUGUGCAUAAGGAGAAUGUAUCUGUGUCUACAACUCUGAGGGAAUCAUGAAUCAAAAGUGUCCCUUUCAAUUGUCACUCAUUUGCCACUCUAGGAAAGCAAUACAAAACAUAUCCCCUUGUAAAUAUUUCUGGAAUAUGGAGAGGAGAAUGCAAACAUUCAAUUCUGGGUGCACAGAGAGGAAGACUGUCUUUGCAACAAUCUGCUUCAGGAAGUCGGAUCAGCCGUAUACAGCAGCAUAUCUUUUGUGGCAGAUAUCUUUGUAAAGCUUUGGAGGAACUGUGAAAGGUUUUCCAAAUUUGAUUGGAUCAACAAAGAGUAUGGACUGGGGUUGCAUAAUUCUUUUCAUGCUUUUUUUUGCAGUCAAACUUCCCCUCCUCCCCAAAUCUUGGUUUCCUAUUCACAGAAGCAACAGGACCAGGACUAUUUGAGAAUGUUACAGGGUGAUGUUGGGUUAAUCAGUCUCUCUUUCUGCUUAACCUAGCUCACAGGAUUGGUGUGAAUAUAACCUGGAGAAACAGCUUACAUGUUGUUCAUAGCUACUGUUUUUGGGCAACAAUAGAAAUUUUAUUUUUAAAAAAUUAUAAUAAAAUUUCCCCUCUAGGGUGGAAAAAAAACCUGACAAGAAGUCCAUGGAUCAUGCUGCUGAUCCACUCGAAUUCAGAACCCAUGGCUGCAGCACUGAAAUAAAAUUAAAAAUGAGGAACCAGUUCAUGCACCUCUUGCAUCACAUCUAGUUUGAUCUUGUGUUUUUUAGAUGUUUGUGGAAAAUGAUGGAAUUUUGUGUGUGUGAAAUGAGAUUCUUCC
rnacentral:lncRNA from 1 species